rnacentral:lncRNA from 10 species
UAGUAAUGCCAGAGAUGACAGGAUGUGUAGAGGGACAGGGGAAAAAUCUUACAGUGAAAGAAGAGUAGGGGAGUCUUGAAGUAUAAGUCCUUUGGGGGUCAGAGGACUUUAGAGAAGCUGAUGUUGUAAAAGAAAACAGACUUGUCACCUCUGGCAAAGCCUCAACAUAUGGGUAUGUAUCCGUCAGGGUUCAGCCAGAGAAGCAGAACAACUGGAAGAUAAUUAGAAUUAUCAGCAGAUUCCAAAAACUCACUCUGAACUUGGAGACCAGAAUCCUACCUGCUGGAGCAAAUUGCAUCUCGAGUUUUGAGAAUCAGCACCCUUAUUAAGCAGAGAAUGACUGAAAGAUCAUUGAGG